ensembl:lncRNA
CCCCUUUCCAGAGAAGCAGGGUCCCCCCUUUCCAUGGAAGCAAGUUCCCCUUUUGAACAGAGACAGGUAACAGGCAGCCAAGGAGGUUCCUCUUGGCUCCUGCUGUCGGGACCUGCAGGCUGGCUCUCUAGGGUCAGCAGGGGAUUCCCCCCUGCCGCCUAUGCUGCCCCCCUCCCCCUGCCCUGACCUCUGCUCUGGGCCUCAGGUCCUGCUAACUGCAGACUGCAGCCCAGGGCCCUCCCUGCCUGUCACUGUGGGGUCCUGAUCCCCUGGCAGCCUAGGGCCCCAACGGCACAUGCUUGGGGACUGGAGACGAAUACUUCCUGAGAUCACCCCGAAGGCCGUCCUCGCUGGCUCCUGCUGCAGUUUCUCUUUCUCUUUCAGCCAGCGAGGCAGCAGGAAGCCCAAGUGCUGAAGCUCAUCCUGCUGGCAGGGGGCAGGGGACAGCAGCCAGGGAAUGAGGGGUCCUAAGGAGAGACAUGGAGCCUCUGCGAGGCUGGGGGCCGCCACCCUGGAGCCCGGCACCCAAGGCUGACGCCCUGAGCCUGUAAAAAUAAGUCGCGUACCCAUGCCUUAUAAAUUUAGCCCUAACCCUCAACUCAGGGCAGCAGCAGGAGCUCUGACUGCCCAUGGGUCCUGUCCCCAUGCCUGCAGCUCUUCACUGCCCAUGGGUCCUGUCCCCAUGCUAUUCCAUACUAUUCUCUAAAUAAAAGAGCACCACUGCCAGGCCUUGAGAGUUCAAGAAAUCUUUCUUUCGACUCCUCGGCUCACUGACCCCACAUCAUUUCUGGUGGCCUGUACGGGCAACUUGCUUCAUCGGCUUGUGAGCUCAAGUUCUGGACACAUUGGUUAUAUUACCAAGCCUUUGACCGCAAUGUCAUAUUUGAAACAUACAGGCUCAGAUAUGACAAGACAGCUUUUCAGGAACAAAGAUUGGACUUUCUGGAAUACAGCCACUUGGAAACAUGGGCCUGGUACCUUGUUUACAGAGAUUCUGGCAAUCUUACCCGGAAGAGAGCGGAUUUCUCUGAGACGUCUCGGGGGCCUCUGAAAAUCCCCAGACAAACUCUCCGUCCUCUCCUAGGUCAAAAGAAAGCCUUUAUUCAGGACUCGAAUAUUUUGCAGGGUGGAGGAGAGCCUGUCAAAAAAUAUUAAAAGAUUUAAAACAUUUGUUCAGAUAGGAAACAACGCUCCCUGCAAAACCACGCUCAUGCAUCUAUUCAAAGUGGCAACAGAAAUAGUCAAGGGCAAACAGAGUUAAAGCAGUGAUUUUGCAUCAGCUUGCUUUUGAAAUUGAAACUUAUUUACUUAAUAAAUUCAUUUCAAUCUCAGUCACCUUGACCAUAAACAAAACUCCUCAGGGUUUUACUUCCACAAACCUUCUGUCACCUGCUUUUCACCUUCAGAAUUUGUCCCAGGUCUUCUUUCCUUUUUUAUUUUCUUUCCUAGUUCUUCAGGACAAAUUUGUCUUUCUUAACAAAACAAACAAAAAUAUCUCUAUUCUUUUUAUCUCCUUUACUGAAAACAUACAUUUUACUUUCCUUGUAUACAGGCUUUUUAGAAAUAUGUCUUUUCUCAUAGAAAAUUCCUCAGCAUACAUAAAACAUGUUUAUCAAUAGGGCCUAAGCAUCUUUCAGUUUCUUUGGGAUAAGAAAUCAAACGCAGACAAAUCUAUGCUUAGGAAUCAACUUUUAAUAUUUUAUCUUAUGUGGAAAUGACGUAGAUACCAAAUAAACUUUCAUUAUUUAAUUGAACUUAACAAAGCUCUGAAAAGCUUAAAUUUCCAAAAAGAUUUUGGAAGGUGUUUUUCAAGUAUGCAGACUAUAAAACAUAAUUGUUGUACUUAAAAACUCUUACCCAUUUUCAACAACUAAAUUUAGGCUGCCUACAAAAACCUCGUGAGGCAUCAAACAAAAUCAGCUAUUAUACCAAGUUAUUUUUGCUGAUAAGUUCUCUAACAGAGAUAACAUGAGUUCAUUUGACCAGUUGACCCAGGCUAUACGUCUGCAUUAUAUCCACCAAUGCUAACUUUGAGGACAUGCCUAUUUUAAAUCAAACCAGCAAACUUAAACAGGCUUUUGUUUACCAAAGAUCAUUUUGUAUCAUGCUGAACACCUUGAAACACCUUUGGGAUAGUAUUUCUUACAUUUAGAAUUUAUAGUAUGUAUUUAGUUUAAAUCAAUUAAAUAGAGCUCUGAAUUUUGGCCAUACAAUGCAGAUAUAAAACAUCAUACACAUCUAACAUACAUAUAGACACACAUACACAGAGUUCCCACUGUUAUUAUUUAAAAAUUACUGCCAUGAAUCAGGUACAGUAACACAAAGCACCCUAGGUAGGAAUCCAAAUUUCGUUUUUCCAAGUUGCAUACCAGUGGUUGCAGCAUGAGGCUCUGUUGAAUUUUCCCAUUGACUCCAACAAUGGCAACUGAGGAAUUAUUUAAUGAUGAAUAAGUGGCAUCAGUACCCAGCAGAAAGUCAGCCAAUUGUGUCCCCACUGUCCCUUGUACCCAGGGCUCAUGGGGGACUAUUGGAACGGGAGCCACCAGCAUGGCAAAGAACCCUUGGCCCCAUCAGUCGUCUUCCUCCUCAGAGUCUUGGACUCAAGAGGUCAGGGAGCUUGUUAGGAGGACCCCGAUUUUUCCCUCUCAUGCCUUCCUCCAGCUUAGGGCACUCAUUUUUCCAGGGCCCCUUUUCUUUGCAGUAGGCACACUGAUUUUUCCCCAAUAUUUGGUGCACCUCCCUAUGCAGCCCUGGCUCCCCUUUUCUGUCUCUCCAUCUGGGGGAGCUGUGUAAAGCCCUUGGCGGGCUUGGCUUUACGUUCCUCUCGAGCAUUAUAAACUUUGAAAGCAACUUUCAUCAAGUGACCAGAACUUGUGGCUGUGGUGCCUUCAACCUUCUUGAGCUUCCUUCUAAUGUCGGGGGCAUUUACCAUCAGGGGCUGUGUCACAUAGAAAUUAGGAUUAAAGAGAUUUAAAACGCUCAGGGUUGGCAUGUCCUCAUCAAGUUUUUCUUUUGGUAUCUGAGCAUCUUUGACUACUGGGAGCUUGGCUUUUCUUUGGACCGUCAGCUUGUUCCCUGGCAGGACACCCGAUCAUGCAACCACAUAAAACCCUGCACAGGUGGAAACUCAUCCCGUUUUCCAGACCUUUCACAACACAACUCCAGCUGUAAGAUGGUGUAAUAACUCAAAGUUCCAUUCAAUGUCCAUCUUUCCUCACUUUCCAAGACAUACAUCAGCCAGGUGGUGUUACAACAAAAUACCAUAUUUUUUGUCAUCGGCUUGUAACUAUGGAUUGACCAUCAGCCAAAAUCUUUCCCAAGGGGCUCCAUGUGGUGACUCCCAUGUCAACACAAAAGGGGACAGACAGACAGACAAACAACAACCAAAGAGACCAAACCAAACCAAACAAGCAUGCUUUUCCAAACACCCUCAGCCAGCAACGGAAGCCAAUACAAAGAAACCAAAACUCACAACACUUCAGUUCCAGCGUAGUCUGUGUCCUACUGACAGGUGUGCCCAAUAAAUGAAGUCGCAGCCUACAGAUCUUCCCAAAUGAGCAAAGACAAGGGACCUCGAUUGUGCACACCGGGGGACUGACCUAGUUGGGCUGGGGGAUCACGACUCCACACAAACGCUCUUUCCUUCUCCCCAAGGUAGUUUCCAGAGGUCUCCAGAGGUCCAGACGGCCACCCAGGGGAUGAAGCAUGAGGGAAGCCUCCCAGAGUGAAACCCGCUUUCCCAGCGGCUGGAGCGGCCCCUCUGGCUGUGCUGGGCACUCCGCAGAGGCCAGCCAAGGGAGCAGACCUGGACUCGACCUGGGUGAAGUCCAGUCAACUAAGUACUGGUCCCGGGUGAUCAGGCCUCCCUGAGUCUUUCUCCAGCUGUCCACUUCCACAACUGGGGCAGGCGCAGAGCACAACUCUGGAGCAUCCGAAGAAGCCGAGGGGGUCUCAGCGGGAACAACCCACAGGUCCCAUCUGGGUCGCCAACUGUGUAACCAAAAGUUCAGUCUCUGAACCCGAUGCCAAUCCAAAUAACGAGGACAGAGUCUUGAGGGGAAAGGAAAGAGCGUUUACUUUCUUUGCCCAGCAGGGGGAGCACAGCAAGGGCUGGUGCCUCAAGCACUGCUAGCUCCCCAUUAAGAAACGCGUAGGGGUUUUUAUUUGGGGUUUUAGGUAGGGGAGGGGAGCUGUGACCUUCUUGGUCAGCAUUUUCCCAUCGGCCCACGUUUGGGACAGCUUCCAAGGGCGGGGAGACAAAGGAUUCCACAGAUGGACGUCCCUGGCUGUUUAUCUCCAUGGUGGAUGGUGGACUCUGGGAAGCUUCUGUUUCUUGACGUUCUCUGGGCACUAAUUUCUCUGUGAAAGAACUUCAAG